GCUUAAGGUACAGAUGAUCCAAGAUCUUUCCACUAUAAAAACCCCCUGUACUACCCUUCCACAUCAAACGAACGCACCGAGCAAACUGAAUCCGAAAAUACCUCAACAAAGAAAUGGAAACAAAACUGGCUUUGGGUGUUCUAUUCUUCUUGUCACUUCUUCUGAUCGAAGGAACCGAAGGUGUACUGGCCUGCACAAAAAAGGACUCUAGGCCGGCUUGUAAUUCGAACAAGGGGCGGGAACGAAGAGUCUGCUCCAUUGCUCGACGGCUCGAUUGCAAACAGAUCCUGCUAGAUGAAGACGCACACCUGAGAGGCCAGCAAGUUGAGACUCUUUAGGAAUCCCACUAAUAUACAACGACGCUGAAAAUUAAUGUAACUUGAAUUUGAUGUUAAUGCCCGACUUUGUGAAGAAAUUUUGAGCUCCAUGGAAAGUAUUUUGCUUUUGUUUGUUAAUUAAUAAAGUAAAUAAAUGCUGAA